ensembl:lncRNA
CAGUGGGAGAGUGGGGCCUGGGGUGGCCAGCACUGAAUCUGGGGGGCACAGCAAUGGAACAUGGUUUGGGGCUUCCUGCCUCCUUGUGGUGGGCACUGGGGCCAGGUUUGCCGGGCGGUCCCUGCACAGGCCCCCAGGCCGCCUGGGGAACCUGGGACUGGUGGGGGUGAGGCUGCAGGCCCGGCUCGCAGAGGGGUCAGUGUCUUGUGGCCACGCUCUUCUGCAGGGUCCAGCUUGCUGGGCCCGAAGAGGAGAAGGCCCUCAGCCCCCGCAUCCCAGGCUGAGCUGGUCAGUUUCCCCUCUUCUGCCCCCAGGGAUACCAUCGCCAGGAUGGGCAGGGGAGGUCUGCUGGGGAGUCCAUUCGUGCCUCCCAAAGAAACUCACCCCAGCCCCCUCCUCCAGGGAGUCCAGCAUGAUUUGGCUUGCUGGGUGGGGGGGUGCUGUUUAAAGCUCCCCUGCCCUGAUUCUAAGGUGCAGCCAGACAGAGACUCCUGGUCCUGGGGCCCCAGCCCCUCUCCCUCCUGCAGAGGUUGGUCUUGGUGCUUCGGAUGCACCUGGAGGGCGUGGGGUGCUCCUGGUUUUCCUGGUCGUCCUGAGAAGACUGAUUCUAGGUUGGCCAGGUCCCUGCCUUGCUCCUCAGCAGGCAGAUGGGCUCCGGAAGCCUGGGGCGGAUUCUGAACCACUGAGCCAUCCGGAAGCCCCUGCGCCACGACUGCUGAGCCCAUGAGCUGCAACUAUCGACCCGUGUGCUGCAACCACUUAAGCCCUUGUGCCCAAGAGAGGCCCCCACGAUGAGCAGCCCGGAGCUGGAGAGCAGCCCCCACUCAGUCGCAACUGGAGAAAAGCCCGAGCAGCGACAAAGACCCACCAUGGCCAAAGAUAAAUAAAUAAAAUAAUUUUAAAAAAGA